GACGAACGCUGGCGACGUGCUUAACACAUGCAAGUCGAACGAUGAACUUGGAGCUUGCUCUGGGGGAUUAGUGGCGAACGGGAGAGUAACACGUGAGUAACCUGCCCUGGACUCUGGGAUAACUUCGAGAAAUCGGAGCUAAUACCGGAUACGAGCUUCAGCCGCAUGGCUAGGAGUUGGAAAGAUUUUUCGGUCAAGGAUGGACUCGCGGCCUAUCAGCUUGGUGGUGAGGUAACGGCUCACCAAGGCGACGACGGGUAGCCGGCCUGAGAGGGUGACCGGCCACACUGGGACUGAGACACGGCCCAGACUCCUACGGGAGGCAGCAGUGGGGAAUAUUGCACAAUGGGCGCAAGCCUGAUGCAGCAACGCCGCGUGAGGGACGACGGCCUUCGGGUUGUAAACCUCUUUUAGCAGGGAAGAAGCGCAAGUGACGGUACCUGCAGAAAAAGCACCGGCUAACUACGUGCCAGCCGCCGCGGUAAAAC
rnacentral:rRNA from 1 species